rnacentral:piRNA from 1 species
UUGGUUAUGAGAAGAGUGGAAUCAGCCU